rnacentral:rRNA from 1 species
GACGAACGCUGGCGGCGUGGAUUAGGCAUGCAAGUCGAACGGUGUCAUCCUUUCGGGGGUGAGAGAGUGGCGAACUGGUGAGUAACACGUAGGUUAUCUACCCUCAAGACGGGGACAACCCAGGGAAACUUGGGCUAAUACCGGAUGUGAGCAACUUUUAGUUGUUUGAAAGGUGGCGUAAGCUGUCGCUUGGGGAUGAGCCUGCGUCCUAUUAGUUAGUUGGUGAGGUAACGGCUCACCUAGGCAAUGAUAGGUAGGCGGCCUUAACGGGUGGUCGCCCACACUGGGAUUGAGAUACGGCCCAGACUCCUACGGGAGGCAGCAGUCGAGAAUAGUCUACAAUGGUCGGAAGACUGAUAGUGCGACGCCGCGUGAACGAUGAAUCCCUUCGGGGUGUAAGUUCUUUUAUAUGUGAGCAGUGCUUCUUAUAUUAACAGUAUGGGGAGAGAGAUAUUAGCAUAUGAAUAAGCAACGGCUAACUCCGUGCCAGCAGCCGCGGU